UACGGAGGAGGCAAGCGUUAUCCGGAAUUAUUGGGCAUAAAGCGUCCGUAGAUGGUUUUGUCAGUCUGCUGUCAAAGCACAGGGCUUAACCCUGUAAAGGCAGUGGAAACUACAAGACUAGAGUGCAGUAGGGGCAGAGGGAAUUCCCAGUGUAGCGGUGAAAUGCGUAGAGAUUGGGAAGAACAUCCGUGGCGAAAGCGCUCUGCUGGACUGCAACUGACAUUGAGGGACGAAAGCUAGGGGAGCGAAUGGG
rnacentral:rRNA from 1 species